UGAAGCUGUGCAUAUAGCCCAUUGUGGCCACGUGCAACUAGCGGAGAUGCUCCACUGAUGAUUGACUGUGUUGCUAUAUCUUUUUUGCAGAUUUCCUCCUUCAGUGAUGCUCCUCCUCCUCCAGUGAAACUCCUCCUUCAGUGAAGCUCCUCCCACUGCAGUUCACCAAUAAACGCUGGAAUAUUUCCCUCAGCUACAAGUGAAGAGGAGCAUCAAACCAUCAGGAAGAGCUUACACAAACACAGAGUUUAUUGAAGGACACUGAGAACAUGAGAUCCAGAACACUGCAGAAUGAAACAUACUGAAGAACAAAGAGCGGCAAAAUUCUAAUCUGAAAAAUGAAGCCUACCCGGAAGUGGGAAAAACUGCAAUACAUCGAAAAUCCGCUAGAGGUCGGUCCCAAAAGGGGGUUCCGAGUGCCUGACAAC